rnacentral:misc_RNA from 1 species
UCCUCCUUGUGGGAGGCUGUCUCGCUAGAGAGUGUAACUAGCGACGAGGGUUGCGCUCGUUGCGGGACUUAACCCAACACCUCACGGCACGAGCUGACGACAGCCAUGCAGCACCUGUGAAGGCUUCCUGAGUUACCCCAAGAUCGUUGCCCUUUCGGGCUCCUACUACCAACAUGUCAAGCCCUGGUAAGGUUCUUCGCUUAGCAUCGAAUUAAACCACACGCUCCACCGCUUGUGCGGGCCCCCGUCAAUUCCUUUGAGUUUCAUCGUUGCCGACGUACUCCCCAGGUGGCAUACUUAAUGCGUUAACUGCAGCACCGGCCCCGAAGGGCCAACACCUAGUAUGCAUCGUUUACAGCGUGGACUAC